GGGGGCUCUUCCUCGCUCCCAGGUGCUUCUUCAGUUUGUUCUUCACCUUCAGAUUGGGCUCCGACGCUGAAACGAGAUGAUGCUGUCAGCUGAGGCCAGGUUAGAAUGAGCGGCCAGGGAGUGUGUCCAAACGGCAGCUGCUGCAGUUCCUUUUGCUGCUCCUGCUCCUGUUCCCGGCGUCGCUGCUCCAUGUUAAACUGCAGAAGAGGGGGGAGGAAAAUCAGAAUCGGGAUCUCCUGCAGUCGGAUCCCUUGCAGCAGUUAACACGAUGCAGACUUCCUUCAGGAGGGUUAACUGGCGCUGGUCCAAAAAUGAGAGAGAGAGAGAGACAAUAAGAGGAGAGAGAAAGAAAGUGAUGUCGAAGCCCAGCAGUCAAACUCUUUUUAAGCCACAAGCCGCCUUUUCACAGUUUAAAAAAAAAAAAAAAAAACCACGCUGCUAAAUUUAGAGUUGUGUGUUUUUUUUUGUUUGUUUUUUUUUAACCAAGGUUACGGUAGAGGAGAAAAGGAAAUUUGAAUUGCUGCAUUCGAAUGCAACGAGGUGUGCCGGAUUAAAGGGAGAGCUGCCAGACCAGAACAGAGCUGGACUCCACAACGAAACAGGAACCUUUGGGAAUUUGACCUUGUCUGUCUAACGGUAAAAUAAAAAAACAACUGGUAAUUUAA